UGAGUAACAGAUUUGAGUCAUACACCACACUUUAUGCAGCAAUACAUAUUUCAACCGUCUUUCUGUAAAAGAGACAUUCAAAAUAAAAUAAAAAAAUAUAUAACAUUUGCGACUAUAGAAAUUUCUUUAGAGACAAAACAGGAAUCAAAGUGUCUAAUUAUAAAAUUUUAAUUAAUAUAUGAUAAGAAAUAUUAGUAUUAUAUAUUUCGAAGGUCACAAUUGGUAUGUUAUGUAGCAAGAGAUCAAUGUUUAAAAUAGAACUAUACACACUUCAGACACUUUUUUUCUCAUCACAGUUGUCAUUUCAGCAGACAUGUUACAAUGUAGGAAAUAAGUUUUCAGACCCCCUGAACUUUUCCACACUGAUAUUCUACAACAAAAUACUUUAGUGUACUUCAGUUAGAUUUUUUUUAGUACAUAGGGUCCAGCUAAAAGUAAUUUAAAUCCGUAAAGGUUUGCUAGAGAGCAUCUUUUGGAGCACACUUCAACACACUGUUCAAAAAUGUAAAGAAUAUGGCAGACAUGCAAACAUAAUACCAACAUCCAUCUAAAAUGACAGACCAGGAAAGGAGAGCAUGAAUCAGAGAAGGAACCAAGAGACCCAGAUUACGUCUGGAGGAGCUGCUAAGAUCCACAGCUCAGGUGGGAGAAUCUGUAGACGUAACUAUCAGUUCUGCAAACCACAAACCUGACCUUUACUGAUGAAUAGUAAGAAGAAAGUCAUUAGUAAAAGCAAGACGUUCAAUAUGUGCUUCAAGUUUGCCACAGCUUACGGAAAGGAAACGGCAACUUAUGAGGGAAAGUGCAUUUGUCAAAUAGAUGUGUCAUGGUAAGACAACAGCCAAGAAUACACAACCAGAGCUAGAGUGGGAUGUCUAGAUAAAAAACUUAAUGUUGCAGUCAAAGUGAUUAUGGUACUUUCCUAGACACACUGCAUUUAAUCUGACUUUGUAAAGAAGACAAGGCAUACAUUUUAAUCUUCAGAUAUGUAGUUACAAAAACAUCAGAUUUAUUUUUAUUCACAAGGGCAUUUAUUUAUUUUACUGCUGCUUAAAUAACCUAAAGUAUUUAUGUGGCAUACAUAUAUAUGUAUAAAAUGCUUUUAGUUUUGAUACACACACUAAAGAGAGUUUUAAAAUAUGAACCCACUAAAUUUAAACUUGUUUUUUAAAAGUGGAAAUUUUGCAGGAUAUUAUAACAUGCAUGUCACUCAUAUCUUGCCAACUGUAAUUUUAAAACAGAUGAUAUUCUGUUAGUUUGUUCAUCAGUUUAAAUGUAACAGGGUUUUUUUAACAACAUUAUAGAUGUGAAGUUUGCCAAAAUGGGUUUAUGUAUUCAUUCUUUAAAUUUUGCUUAGUCUGCAACUUAUUUUGACUCUUGACUUUUACUGCUGUGUUAAGUUAUGUUACUAUUGACAAUUGGUAGUUACUAUAGCAACCAGUAACAGUCAGCUCACCUCCUUCUUCGGUUCCUGUCUGUAACUGUGUUUGUGACUGUGGAGCACAAGGUGCUGGACUGAUAUUAACUUCCAGUUUCACUUUUUCUCUUGUUAAAAUAAAUACAGUAAGCU